AUCUUUAGGCCCCUAUCUCCUCUCAAGGCUUCAUACUUAAUAUUAAGGUUCUAUAACUUUUAUAUACUAUAAUCAAACUAAGUAAAGAAAAUAAAACAAUUUUUUUUUUACCAACUCUUUUUAAUUUAAUCUAUUAAUUACUUUAAUACACAUUUAGAUUUAUUAAGAUAUAAUAUGUUUUAAUUAAUUUUUACAUACUGUAAGCAUUUACAGUACGGCAUCCACCCCC
rnacentral:lncRNA from 1 species